UUGAAAGUUAAAACGCAGAAGUAGUAAACAUAGUAAAUAGUAAUGUUUUAAAAAUAUAUUUAACUUCCGAAUUAUAACAGUUAUAACUUUUACUGCUUAGUAAUCAGAUUAGUGUAUUUGAAUUUCUGUUGCUAACUAUAAAUUUUUACAAGCGUAGUAGUGAACAUAAAAUAAAUAUGGCAGGCGAAAACAAGGUUAUGUUUCAUGAAAUGGAAUUAGAUGAUCGUUUACUUAAGGCAAUAUCACAGCUUGGGUGGUCAACUCCAACAUUAAUUCAGGAAACUGCAAUACCUCUGCUAUUGGAAGGAAAGGAUGUUCUUAUGAGAGCCAGGACAGGAUCAGGCAAAACUGCAGCUUUUACUAUUCCUGUAAUACAAAAGAUACUAAACUUAAAAAACACAAGUUUACAUCAAUGCAUAACGAGUCUUAUUUUGUCUCCCAGUAAAGAAUUAUGUGGCCAGAUAGCUUCAGUUGUAUCAGAGCUAACACUAAAAUGUUCAAGAGAAGUCAGAUGUAUAGAUAUAUCAUCCAACACAAACACCCAAAUCCAAAAGUCUCUUCUGUUAGAUAAACCAGACAUUGUGGUAGCUACACCGGCAAGAGCAUUAGCACAUCUUAAAGCUGGAAACAUGAAACUUAAAGAUGAUUUAGCAAUGCUAAUUGUAGAUGAGGCUGACCUUGUAUUUUCAUUUGGCUACGAAGAUGAGGUGAAAGAGCUCUUGGGGUAUUUGCCAAAGAUUUACCAAGCUGUGUUAGCUUCAGCUACACUAUCAGAUGAUGUAAUCAACCUUAAAAAGAUAGUUCUUAGGAAUCCAGUGACAUUGAAAUUGGAGGAACCUGAAUUGGCACCAUCCUCCCAACUACAACACUACCACCUAUUUGCGGAGGAAGAUGAUAAAGCGGCAAUAUUAUAUGCCUUGCUGAAACUUAAUUUAAUAAGAGGCAAAAGCAUUAUCUUUGUAAGAACUGUGGACAGAUGUUAUAAAUUAAAAUUAUAUUUGGAACAGUUUAAAAUUGGCUCUUGUGUUUUGAACUCUGAACUGCCAGCUGCCAUACGAUGUCUGUCUGUGGACCAGUUUAACCGAGGUCGCUAUCAAAUUAUCGUGGCCUCAGAUGAAAAAGCUUUAGAAAAACCCGAUGGAGGAUUACUUAAAGGAGAAGAAAUUGGCAAGAAGAAUAAGCAAAAAUCUAAACGUAAAAAAGACAAGGAGUCCGGAGUAUCUCGCGGUAUUGAUUUCCAACACGUAGCCAACGUCAUCAAUUUUGAUUUCCCGCUGGAUGUCACAUCGUAUGUACACCGAGCGGGACGGACGGCACGCGGACACAAUCAGGGAUCAGUGCUAUCAUUUGUAUCAAUAAGAGAGAAACCUUUACUAGAAGAGGUGGAAGCACACCUGUCCAAAGGGUUCAACAAUCAGGAAGUGUUGCAAAAGUACUCAUUUGCGUUAGAAGAAGUGGAGGGUUUUCGUUACCGGUCUAGGGAUGCGUGGCGAGCCGUCACUCGCAUCGCCGUGAGGGAAGCACGACUACAAGAGAUUAAGCGAGAACUGCUCAACUGCAACAAGUUAAAGGGAUUCUUCGAGGAAAACCCGGCUGAGCUGGCGGCGAUUAAACGAGACAAGGCCCUACACACGGUCAGAGUUCAAGAACAAUUGGCCCAUGUCCCAGAAUAUUUAGUUCCCGGAGCACUUCGACCGUCUGAACCCGAAGCCAGCGCAGACCGCCCGGCGCCCCCACAAGCACCUAAAAGAAAGACCCAACACAGUUAUGGCAGCGCUAAACGGCAUAAGUACCAGGCGCGACGCAACAACCCGCUGCAGAGUUUCGAACUAAAGACACUCAAGAAAUCGACAGACACAUAGCCCUUUUGCUCCGGUGCCGGGUCGCGCGUUUCUGUUGGAUAGUCACAGACAGGCUUGUUCCAACCUCAGUGCAAUGGUUGGCGCCGGCCCGGGGCAACCGCCUUCCUGAUCACGGUACACCCUACGCAAGGGUGGUUCCAGCGAACGAGCCCGUCGCCUCGGUUCCAGCGCUAGCACCAGUGUCGCAGGACUGCGAUGGAUCGCUACACGGACAUCUGGUUUUCUAAAUGAAAAUAUUAAAUUACUUAAUAAACGAAUAUAUUCAGAAGUUU